rnacentral:lncRNA from 1 species
CCCCGGGUUUACCAUGGAGCCUGGGGGUUCCGGCGACGAGGCGGUCGCCAUGCUGUGGUCCGUCCGGGAGGCCGUGGAACGGUCAACUUUGCAGAUCGGAGCGUCGGCGUGCGGCGCCACGGCGCUGGUGGACGUUCUGCGGGCCCUGGGGGUCCCGGUGACCCCGGAAACGGCCGAGCGCUGCGUCCAGACGCGGUUAAGGAGGAACGAGGCGCCGCUGCCGGACUACCUGCUGUCACGCAGCGAGGCCGGUGCCACCCACCAGCAACUGAUAGAUGGUGCCGAUUUGGCCAGCAGGGGGAAGGUCCUCGGCCGCUUUUUCCCCUUCCACCCCCGCCGCAGGGUGCAGCUCGUGUCCUGGUUGGCCGGAUGGAUCCGCUGCGGCGCCGUCCCGGUGGCCACCAUGAACAUGCAGCUGGCCGUGCCAGAGGGCGAGGAGAUGCCGGACGCCUGGCACCACCAGCUGGUGUUUGGAGUGGCGCCCGACGCCAUCUACAUGAGUAACCCCCUGGAAGUCGUGAGUGAGGCCGUGGUUCACCAGCGGCUGUGCAGUGAGUCACUGCUCCUCAUUCGCCGGGAGGACGUGCUGCAGAGGUGGACGGCGGACACAUCCGUGGACUCGCUCGCUCAGGACGUCUCUGACCCACGGUGGACCGUUCUGGACGUACAGGGUCAGGUGAGACAGGUGAUUCGUGAGGAGGAGUGUGAGGAUGAGCGAAAACCCAAGAUGAGCCACAUUGUGAUCCCAGCAGCAUACCGCUCAGGUGUGACGCUCUUUGCUCUCCGCCACUCGGACCCAGGACAGGAGCUUCUUCGAGCGCCCGAGCUGCCCCUGCUUUGAGUCCCACUGGACACACCCCUGCCCUUCAAUGGACACACCCCUGCCCUUUAUUGGACACACCUUUCACCUUCACUGGACACACCCCUGCCCUUCACUGGACACACCCUUUACUGGACACACCCCUGACCUUUGCACCCUUGAGGUGUCUCUGCCAUGUCGAUAUGAACUCGUUCGGUGCUCCAGGUCGUUUCAGGACACCAGGGACUCGUUGACGUGUGCAGCUGUGACCGUGCGGCUGAGGGACUGAAGGACCAGCGUGUUCCGCUGGACAGUAAGACGUGCGCUAACGGUGUUCCUGCUCUUAGGCAGACUCGUCUCUGCGUGUUGCAGAACUCGUGUGAGGCCAUGUGGACGACUUAAUGCGGACAGAUUCCCUCGCAGGACAGCGUGGUGCUUUGGGGAGAUGCUGAGGGUUCGAGAGAUUUCACUCCUCCGAGGUCUCCUUGUGUCUGAUUCACUGUGUGGGAAUAAACCCAAACGGAGAGUAACA